CCUACGGGGGGCAGCAGUGGGGAAUAUUGCGCAAUGGGCGAAAGCCUGACGCAGCGACGCCGCGUGAGGGAUGAAGGUCCUCGGAUCGUAAACCCCUGUCAGUAGGGAAGCACGGUCACUGUGCUAAUCAGCAGUGAAUUGACGGUACCUGCAAAGGAAGCACCGGCAAACUCCGUGCCAGCAGCCGCGGGAAUACGGAGGGUGCGAGCGUUAAUCGGAAUUACUGGGCGUAAAGCGCUCGUAGGCGGUAUGUCAAGUCAACGGUAAAAUCCCGCGCCCAACGUGGGAACUGCCUUUGAAACUGGCAGACUGGAGUGUGUGAGAGGUAUGUGGAAUUCCAGGUGUAGGAGUGAAAUGCGUAGAUAUCUGGAAGAACAGCGGUGGCGAAGGCGACUAUCUGGCACAUAACUGACGCUGAGGAGCGAAAGCGUGGGUAGCGAACAGGAUUAGAUACCCGAGUAGUC
rnacentral:rRNA from 1 species